rnacentral:tRNA from 3 species
GGAGAGAUGCCCGAGAGGCCGAAGGGGCACGAUUGGAAAUCGUGUGUGCCGCUAAUACCGGUACCGAGGGUUCGAAUCCCUCUCUCUCCGCCA